UUGAAAAGGUUGUCGCAGGAGCGACUUAUUUUGGUUGUUUAUGACACCUUGCUAAUUAUUAUGAUUAGGAAAAAUAUUUUGAAGUUCUAGUAGAUAGUUAGGAAAUAAUAAUUGUUGGCGAUAGAUAAUAGUACUGUACAGGAAAGCUGAAAUAUAUGAAAUGAAAUAGAUGGAAAGUAUUGGUUAGGCUAAGUACCUUGUGUAUCAGGGAUGUUUUAUAUUAGGUAUUUAUGAUAUUUUUCCCGAAAUAAGGAUAGCUAAAUUGAGGGCUGAGUUUUUGUAGCAAAAAAAUUCAAAAUUUUGUUUUAGUAGUGAAAUGUUAAUCGGGCCUUAAAAUAUCUGGUUUUUUUUGAAAAAAAUUCAAUUUUUUCUUUACAUUGAAGUAGGGUAAGGUUUAGGAAUAGAGGGGGAAAGCUCUUUAUUUAAUUAUUUUAGUUAUAAAAAUAAAUAUAAGAUUAUGCUUAACUGGGCUUAGAGGCAGCCAGGUUUACAAUGGGUUAUACCUAAGGUAUAGGAAAAUAAUAUUUAUUAUUUUUUAGGCAGGUAAAAAGGACUUUUUAUAAAUUUAGUUUAAAAAUUUAAAGUGAAUAUAUUAGUAUAUGAGUGGUUUAUUUUAAAUAAAUUUUGGAGAGUUUAAUGAAAUUUAUUGAAGAGGUGAUGAGUGUAGAGGAAUUCGGCAAAAAAUACUUCCGCCUGUUUAUCAAAAACAUGUCUAUAUGAGAGUUAUAUAAAGUCUGGCCUGCCCAUUGGGAACUAAAAGGCCGCGGUAUUAUGACCGUGCGAAGGUAGCAUAAUCAUUAGUCUUUUAAUUGGAGGCUGGAAUGAAUGGUCGGACGAGAAGUAAGCUGUCUUUAUCUCAUAGAUUGAAUUUAACUUUUAAGUGAAAAGGCUUAAAUGAGUUAGAGGGACGAUAAGACCCUAUAAAGUUUGUACACAGAGUUAAUUAAGAGCGAUUUGGAGUAAUAAAAUUUAUUAUUAGCAAGGUGUUUGGUUGGGGCGACUAGAAUAUAAGUUAUAUAACUGUUUUUUGUUUAAAUCAGAGAUAUCUGUUUAUAUGAUCCCUUUUUAGGAUUAAAGAGUAAAUUACUUUAGGGAUAACAGCGUAAUUUUUUUUGAGAGUUCUUAUCGACAAAAGAGUUUGCGACCUCGAUGUUGAAUUAAAAAUUUCUUUGUGGUGUAGCAGUUACGAGAGAAGGUCUGUUCGACCUUUAAAUUUUUACAUGAUUUGAGUUCAGACCGGCGUGAGCCAGGUUGGUUUCUAUCUUCUAAGGAGUUUUAAGUUAUUUUAGUACGAAAGGAUUAAAUAAUUGAAAUAGUUUUAAGAAAAGGAUCAGAAAAAAAGCCUGGCUUUUUCUUUAAUUUCCAAAAUUAAUAUUUUUUAAAUAAACUAU
rnacentral:rRNA from 1 species